rnacentral:rRNA from 1 species
GAUGAACGCUAGCGGGAGGCCUAAUACAUGCAAGUCGAGCGGUAGAGUGACUUCGGUUGCUUGAGAGCGGCGAACGGGUGAGUAACGCGUACACAAUCUACCUUUAAGAGGGGAAUAGCCCUGGGAAACUGGGAUUAAUGCCCCAUGGCAUCACGAAGUGGCAUCGCUUUGUGAUUAAAGCUGAGGUGCUUAGAGAUGAGUGUGCGUCUGAUUAGCUAGUUGGUGCGGUAACGGCGCACCAAGGCGACGAUCAGUAGGGGGCGUGAGAGCGUGGACCCCCACACGGGUACUGAGACACGGACCCGACUCCUACGGGAGGCAGCAGUAAGGAAUAUUGGUCAAUGGAGGAAACUCUGAACCAGCCAUCCCGCGUGCAGGAAGAAUGCCCUAUGGGUUGUAAACUGCUUUUAUCUGGGAAGAAAGUCGGCAUUUAUGCUGAUCUGACGGUACCAGAGGAAUAAGCACCGGCUAACUCCGUGCCAGCA